rnacentral:lncRNA from 1 species
CUUGUCUUCCCCCCGCUCCUCAGUCUUUCCCUUUUUCUUUGGUCUCAGUAGCCGCUUUUAAUGGAAGUCGAGGCAGUUGAGUGGUUGGUGCAGGGAGUGCGGUGGUGGAUUUUCUAAAUACAGCCACAGCAGGAUAAUAGCACACCAUGACAGAGGUGUUGAGGACAAGAGACAACCAGGCUUCCUGAUUUAUGCACAUGUUCCUGUGUUCUUCAGAGAAAAGAAGGAAGAUGCCUAACUCUAAAAAUUUUGAAAUAAUGACGUGGGACAUGAUUUUGGCUCUGGCCUUGAGAACAUCGGGGAAGGAUCAAAGAUUCUGUUCUAACUGGAGAAAAAAGCAGCCCUUUGCUCACAUUAGGAAGAUUUUUGACCCUCUUAGAAAAGUGAUAACACUGCUCUUUUUUUCCAUGCUGCCUCUUCUUGUACCUUUGAUACUUAUAAACUUACACCCAGGUACUUUGCUUUUACCAACAACUGUGCGCUGAGUUAAAAAGAAGCACAAACAAGCAAUUUGUGUGCAGUAGUUAUUUAUAAUGCGCAACUUGUGUUACUUUUGCCAAAUAAAACUGCUUUAGAAUAAUUCUGAAUUAUCUAUUUGUGAACACUGGGACCCAUCCAGCUAAGGCCAUCGGCAGUCAAAAUUCAUCUUCAAUAGUAAUUAACAAAGAAAAUUACUUCGGCCUUUUUUUCUUAAGAGAAACCAAGCCCAGAGUUAUGCCCUCAGAAAAGAUGAUGUAACACAGAUUUCAUUUUAUAUUUCAGGGAAAAAUGGAUGGAUAUCUCAGGCUGCUGAACUCUGGGACAGUAGAAUAACACUAGGGAAGCUUGUAUCUUCCCAGGCUUGAGGGACUGCAAUCUGCCAAAGAGGGUCACUUCAAGACGGAAGGUCGGACAAAUGCAGAAGAACUCAGUUUGAAUGCAUACAUUAUCAUGGAAGGCAUGAUAGAGAGUGAAAAGGGUAGGCAGCAUCUGAACUGCCCACACCCCCUGCCCCAAAUUCUCCACACAGUUUGGAACUGUGAAUGAUGUUACUUUCUUUGAAACUGUG